rnacentral:rRNA from 1 species
GACGAACGCUGGCGGCGUGCUUAACACAUGCAAGUCGAGCGGUAAGGCCCUUUCGGGGGUACACGAGCGGCGAACGGGUGAGUAACACGUAACCAAUCUGCCCUGAAGCGGAGGAAAACUGAGGGAAACCUUAGCUAAUCCCCCAUAAUGUGGUGCCUAUCGCAUGAGAACACCAUUAAAGAUUAUCACUUCGGGAAGAGGUUGCGUCUGAUUAGCUAGUUGGCGGGGUAAAGGCCCACCAAGGCAACGAUCAGUAGCUGGUCUGAGAGGAUGAUCAGCCACACUGGGACUGAGAUACGGCCCAGACUCCUACGGGAGGCAGCAGUGAGGAAUAUUGCGCAAUGGGCGAAAGCCUGACGCAGCAACGCCGCGUGUA